UGAGUAAUCUGCCCUUAACUCUGGGAUAAGCCUGGGAAACUGGGGCUAAUACCGGAUAUGACUCCUCAUCGCAUGGUGGGGGUGGAAAGCUUUUUGUGGUUUUGGAUGGACUCGCGGCCUAUCAGCUUGUUGGUGAGGUAAUGGCUCACCAAGGCGACGACGGGUAGCCGGCCUGAGAGGGUCGACCGGCCACACUGGGACUGAGACACGGCCCAGACUCCUACGGGGGGCAG
rnacentral:rRNA from 1 species